GAAGACAACAACCCAACCAAAGAGCGGGACAAAGAAAGCAUGUUUGUCCUGAAAAAAAAUACCUAAACAAGUAACAAAUAUUAAACCGUCUUUCGAAGAGGAUUAGCGAAAGCCAUACUUUGUAAUUAUGAAUGUCAAUCGAACUUAUAUAUUUUUUUCUUGAAAUUUAAAGUUGCAUGUUUGAAUUUCUGUUGUAGACAACGAUGGCAACAAUGCGGUGUGCAAUUGUAAACUUCCACUUAUUCUUGGAAUAUAAUUUUACCGGUAUUUUGUCGUCUGGUGGUGCUGGUAUUUACUUUUACCAAAAUUGAAGACACAGGCGGAACUGGAUGUCCUGAAGAACUGUUGAUCGAACACAUUUGCACUGGACCAAUUGUUUCAUUUAUUGAUAUG
rnacentral:lncRNA from 1 species